GGGUCCAUAGCUCAGUGGUAGAGCAUUUGAGUUGCAAUCUUAAGGUCACCGGUUCGAACCCGGUUGGGCCCU